UACGAAGGGGGCUAGCGUUGUUCGGAAUUACUGGGCGUAAAGGGCGCGUAGGCGGUUGCUCAAGUCAGGCGUGAAAGCCCCGGGCUCAACCUGGGAAUUGCGCUUGAGACUGGGCGGCUUGAGUUCGGGAGAGGUGAGUGGAAUUCCCAGUGUAGAGGUGAAAUUCGUAGAUAUUGGGAAGAACACCGGUGGCGAAGGCGGCUCACUGGACCGACACUGACGCUGAGGCGCGAAAGCGUGGGGAGCAAACAGG
rnacentral:rRNA from 1 species